CCCAGCCUUGUUUGUCUUCCACGUCGCGGAGCUUUCGGCGAGGAACAUUACAACAACCGCCCCGAUGGGGUGAGCCAACUGGGGGGGGAUCCUCUCUGCUAUAAACCAAUGCGGUAGGGUCGCCUAGGCCAUAUCGACCCACCCCAAUCGCACCAGGAGCAAUAGCCGAGAGCCACUUCGACGCAGAGUGUGAAACGAGAGUGAGAGCAGGCCGCCGGCAUGGGAAAUCGGAACCGCGACAAGUCUGGGCUUGGGACUCGGCUUUGGGGGAUCAUCGCACCUCGUAGAAGGCGUGCUCCUCAUUGAUUCGGGCGAAGUUCACUGGAGCCCUGUGUAAUUUCUCGUCGUCGAGCCUAAUCCACCACAGAUCCGCUCUUCCAAGUGGAUUGCCCGCCUGCGCGCAUCAUCCUCGGUAGCCUAGGAGGAGGACUACUACGAGGAGUACGAGGAAGUCUAGGUGGUGUCUCCCAGUCUUAAUGGCGCCAAGGAAUAAUAUUAGUU